GUCUACUUGAGAGAGUCUACAUCAACUCUAUUCCGAGAGCUGAUGGUGCAAGAAUUGAGAAACUUACUUAGCUGCCGACAACCCUGACAGUGUUUCCUUCAUGUCCUUGGGGGGGAAGAUGGAUGUGUGUAGUCAUGGACCGACUUUUCCACCCGCCAGCCUACCUGCUCUUCCUAGCCCAUAAAAGACUGUUCCGUGAAUCGGCACAUUCCAAUAUACGCCAUGUUACCACACAAACCAUCAGUGUUGAACCUCAGAGUGGUAGAAAGAACAGACAGCAUUACCUCUGUUUUAUAAAUAAAAU